rnacentral:rRNA from 1 species
UGGGUGGGGCUAGGGAAGUGAGGGGAGCGGUAGGCCGUAGCACGGCGGUAGGUGGAGCAGAGGGGCUAGGUCUACCUCUAGGUUUCGGGAUCCGGCGAGAGGGGGCGAGGCGGAGGCACAGGUACCGCUGCCUGCGGAGGGGGGAGGCCGCGCGUUCUCGGGCCCCGGAGUCGGCCGCCGCCUGGUGGGACUUCUGCUGCGGGCCGGCGACGGCCGCCCCAUGUAGAAGUACACCUCGCCGCUCUGGUCCGGGCUCACGAAGUCCAUGUCCCACGACCCGGAUGGCACCCCCUUCGACCUGCGGCAGAGGGCCUAGUCCGCGUCGCGGCGCGAGAAGGAGAUGCUGAAGGUGCGGUUCAUGGAGAUGCCCGGGAUGGCGCGGUUCUGCCACGCGCGCGACGACCGCCCCGAGCCGCUCCUGCUGGCGGCUCUCCCCGACGCGUCCUGCGGGUUCGCGCAGCGGUUCCGGAAGGCGCUGCCGUGGGCUCCACUGGUAAAAACGACGGCGGUGGCGACACGGCCAACCUCCACGACGACGACGUAGACCGCCUCGACGUCGACGGCGGGGUUUCCCGUUGGAAGUAGUCUGUGUUGGGGUAUUGUCCCGGAGUUCCAAAACACGGGGUAGCGGGGAGAAAGAUUUAAUGACUUUGCUUUUACCGAUCCGGACUACACGGAGAACAUAGAUAACGAGCUAAACAAUACUAAACUAAGUGGUUCUCACUAAGAAGAUGACAGAACAUCGUACCAAUUUACCUUGUUGCUCCCUACAAAGGUUAAACCAAUAACGAUCUUAUUAAGUAGCUGAACUCUAUACGACCCUACAAAACGGACAGGAAUGACUUCUUCUAUUCUUACCUUAAAUUAACCUACCAGGGAAAGUAGCACGAAUCGACAUUUACACGGGGAGAAUGACUUCUUCUAUUCUUAGGUAUACACAAUACGUUUUAAUUGAAACAGUAGAACAUUCGCGAGAUCCGUCACAGAGCUCCCACUUUUUAUACUCUUGUUUUUUCUUAAUGACCUAAUUAAAUGUUGUAGGUAGGAAAUGAAGCAGGUACAGUAACAACAAAUGGGGACCCUCAUAAAAAUUGAACUUUUAGAGACCACUUGACGGUAAACCUCAUGUAAACGAACGAGACAAUUAAAAAAACCCAAUGAGGUAGAACGAGACAAUUCAUUUUAAACUAUACACCUCAUCGUCGUCAUUCGAUCUGGGAGGUAGAACGAAACGUGUAUCAGUUUCGAUGAGGUUCAAUCGUCGUGAUGACAAUUGAAGAGUUACACGAACCUAAUGUAAAUUGAACAUCAUGAGGUCAUGAGGUCAUUAAAAAGAAUCUCAUAAAUUGUUCUAACUUGACAUGUACACACCUCAUUAAAACGAACCUCAUAAAUUGUUCUAACUUGAACAGUUGUAAAUUGUCAUAAAAAAUCAUUCAUAUAACUUGUACGAAGACUUAUAAACGUCUAAGACUUGUACGUUCGUUUAGACGUCCUCAUUUGUUCAAGAACAUAAACCUAUAGUAGACAUGGGAAGAUAAUACUCAACUAACGUGUACUAACCCGACACGAAGGAGACUAAUGUAAGUCUUAACAAACUACAAUUACUACUACUAUAUGAUCCUCGUAAUGAAAGUGGAUGUUAUUAACCGAGUCAAAUUAUAUCAUAUUGGCUGUCUUGUAGAUGUUAAGGUCAGUACUAACGAGACAUGACAAUUCUUGUUUCUGAGUAAAACUGUCAAACAAAAAACAAACACGAUAGGAGAUAACUUACUUAAGUUAUUUCAAGAGUCUUAAGACGGACCGGAAGAUGAUCAGGUUUAGACUUCAUCAUAAUGAUUACAACAAUUCAACAGAUUUGUACGAACGACGAUCGAAAUUUCAACUAGAUUUCUUGGUAAGUACGUAAAUGUGUAAGUACUAAAGGAUGAGACAAACAUUAACAAGACCAAUUGACACGAUCAUCUAUAACGGACCCUAAACAUCGACCACAGACAACACAGUACAAUUCAGGAAUCACAAGUCAUGUACCAUGUAUAUCUCGACGCAUGUCAUCAAUGUUCUCAGCUAGCACCGCUCUCUAAUAAUAAAGAAGGAGUAUGAUUAUAGACCAAAUGUUACACCGCUCUAACAGUUCAAACAUUCGAAAAGUAGUGUGUUGGGAAAAGGAGGAGUAUACCUCAACGAGACAACAUGGUUUUUACAAUAGAUAAGCAUACACGAACAUGUUUUCCUAUGUUAAUAAUUAACAGAUCAAUGCUAAAAAUCGUAAACAACACGAAGGAUCCCUGUGGCUAGAGAAGAGAAGAUAUAUUGGGUGUGACUAGAAAUAACAAACUAACUGACCUUCUUCAAAACUACAUCAAAAAAAUUAGUACGUCCUCAAAUGAAACCUACUGUUUACACACAUUUAGUAGGUGGAGGAGUUACUACGAUUGGGUUAGGCUAGUAGCAGCUGUGAUAGUAGUAGUCCUAGAUUACAACAAACCCGACGACAACGACACUGCCUUCUAGCCUUCUCCGUACCUCUACGCGUGGUGUCAAAAUCAACUACAACGUGGUACAAAACCACGAACACAUAGACAAAAACGAACAUUCGUGUGAACAUACACGAACACAUAGCACGAACACAUAAACAAAAACGAACAAAAUCAACUACAACCUGCACGCCUGAACAUACACGACAACACAUAAACCGACUUACUAAAGACUUAAAUUAGUAAAUCAGUUCUCUUAAUAACUCACAAACGACAAGUUUACACAUUUAACCUUUAGUCACUUAUUUUUCUGGUUUACAAGAUAAGCUG